UAUAACAUCACAGGUUCGAUUCGCUUAUACCCAAACAUAGAGAACAAUAAUAUCGAGGUAUAAAUAUAAGUCUCCCAAAUCACAGCAACUUGCGCCAAAAUUGAAAAAGAAAACCCUAAAUUUUCACUUUCCCGGGUUCUCCAAAUUUUCCCUCUCUGAGUUUCAGCUUCCCACCAUGGAAUCUGGCCAAAUUCACUUUAGAAUUCACCCCGUUAAUUUACUCAAACCCAGGUAUCUUCUCCUUGAGAAAGAAACCGAGUUUUAUCGAUGUGCUCUGAUGCUUAAUCACCCAUCGCAUCACGUACUGACUCCGAUCUAUAGCUUUUCUUCCUUGAGUAGUCUUCUUCUGUUGUUCUCAAGUGCUUAUGAAAAAUAGAUUAUCUCUUAUUCGAGUAUGCUUAUAUAGUCCUCUACUCUAAAGAAAUAAUCAAGAAAAGUAGUACAUGGUGGAGAGAUGGGUUCAGCCUUGGCAAUAGAGGGAUCAAAUGAAUAUAAUUCAAGUAAGAAAGACAAGCUUGGUGAACCAAUAGCAGCCCUACGACAGCUUGUUUCUUCUUUGUGGAAAGCUGUGGAGGUGAAUGAAAUGUGGUGAAUCUGGCAGAAAGAGCUCGAAUCAGAUGAAAGACUUAAAGGCAAGGUGAAGGAUGAGAGCAGAAAUGACAGGAAUCCUGGAAAUGUGCAGGUAAUUGUUCCCUGUCAUGUUUCUUCAAACUGUCUCAAAGGUAGUGGAUGAAGAUAUUGGAGAUGAUGAAGCCAAGAUUUUGUGCCUCUACUGUCAUCUAAGAUCACAUAGGAUAUCAACCUGCAAUUAGGAUUUAUUUAGUUUGUUUUAAUUGUAGUUUAGUUUAACUGUUAUGAGUAACAGAUCAGUAAAUGUCCUUUUUUCUUUUCAAGGACACUUUUUGUUCAUACCGGGAAUUUUUUUUUUUUUGUGUUCUGUAAUAGUUACAAUGACGUUUUUUUUAGAUUUCAAGACCUUUUUUCAGCGUCCUCGUAUAUAGAAGAUGACACUUUUUUAAGAUUUAAGGACACUUUUUCAGUGUCCUAUAAAACAUUAGAGGACGUUUUUUUUAGGUUAGAGGACACUUAUCUAACGUCCUUAUAGGUAUUUAAGGACUUUUUCGAACGUCUUUGUAAGUGACUUACAAUGACUCCUUGAAAGAUGACGUUUUUUUUGCGUGUCAUCUAAAGUUUUCAAAGACGUUUUUUGAACGUCCUUAAAUGGUUUUUUUGUAGUAGUGAUUGUCCUUCUGGUUUUCUUGUUUCUUCUUUCACGUCCACAUCCUUCGCUCUUUCACUGCUUCUUCUCACUGACUGGCAAGGAGCCAACCCAUAUCGUCAAAGGUAUGACUCUCAUCCUCCAAAUCCAGGUGCAAAAUUUAAAGCAAGAUGAAUAAUUCUUCGUCAAUUCUAUAUGUAUUUUGCAAUUUUUGGAUGAUUUAUUUCUUCUCCUUUGUCAUCAAUAUUGAAUUACCCAUGGGUCUCCUCCAAAUUCAAUUGCUAGAGCCAUUUGGAAUUGAUAUCUGCUGGGAAUUGAUGUCUGUUUUGAGUUAAUCCAGGGUUAGUAUUUCAUGAAUGCAUGGUUUUUGCUUUCACCAUGCCAAUAAACUCAUCAAAUGACAGACCAUGACCGUCAUCUGAUAUGCUAAAAAUAUGUCGUCUAGUAAGCUGAUAUCUGAUUGACGUUCAGACGACGAGACGACGGGUAAAGCCCGACAUCAGAAGUUCACUCAAACGACAGACACCUUAAAAAAAAUAUGUCGUCUGAGUGUGCCUAAAUAUGCACAAAUUGUAAGUAUAUGUGGUUAGAUAUGAAAUCGAACGACAGUCAAAUGUUGUUGUCGUCGAACUCUAGCAACAGACUUUACAAAUAAUCUAUUGUCUGUUUUAAUGUGAGAUGACAAUAAAAUGUCUUCUGAAUGUGUAGAAUUUUGAAGUUUCUUUGUUACAUCUGUUGU